UACGAAGGGGGCUAGCGUUGCUCGGAAUCACUGGGCGUAAAGAGCUCGUAGGCGGUUUGUUGCGUCUAUCGUGAAAACCUGCAGCUUAACUGUGGGCUUGCGGUGGAUACGGGCAGACUUGAGUUCGGCAGGGGAGACUGGAAUUCCUGGUGUAGCGGUGGAAUGCGCAGAUAUCAGGAGGAACACCGGUGGCGAAGGCGGGUCUCUGGGCCUGACCUGACGCUGAGGAGCGAAAGCGUGGGGAGCGAACAGG
rnacentral:rRNA from 1 species